UACGAAGGGGGCUAGCGUUGCUCGGAAUCACUGGGCGUAAAGCGCACGUAGGCGGCUUGUUAAGUCAGGGGUGAAAUCCUGGAGCUCAACUCCAGAACUGCCUUUGAUACUGGCAAGCUUGGAGUCCGGGAGAGGUGAGUGGAACCGCGAGUGUAGAGGUGAAAUUCGUAGAUAUUCGCAAGAACACCAGUGGCGAAGGCGGCUCACUGGCUCGAUACUGACGCUGAGGUGCGAAAGCGUGGGGAGCAAACAGG
rnacentral:rRNA from 1 species